rnacentral:tRNA from 1 species
UCUCAGAUGGCUUAGCAGUUAAGAGCUUGGCUUUGUCACUGCUGUGACUCAGGUUCAAUCCCUGGCCUGGGAA